GAAGUCCCAGCCCUACGUGACCAUCAACGAGACCAACAACGCCUUCUACCCCGCCUACACCAUGCUGGGUGUGAAGAUGUUCUUUGAUGGCUCCAAGGAUGGUUCUGGCCAGCCCUACCCCACCUCCGAGCAGAACAAGUGGGCUGCUGACGCCGUGACCUCCAUGUUCGCCGUGCUGGGCUCGUCUGAGCUUUGGAAGGCCCUGGCUGGCCCCGUCCAGUUCGGUGGCCUGGGUCUGGGCUGCGGUGCGUUCAUGUCGUUCGAGGCUGUCGUUGACGGCCAGUACUACAGCCAGCCCAUCGGC
rnacentral:lncRNA from 1 species